rnacentral:lncRNA from 1 species
AAAGGUGCCAGGGCUCUGCCGGCCACAUACUGGCCGCGUCCAUCAUGAUCUCAAAAGACACAGUCUCCAAGGUCAUAAUCCCGAGGGUUGAGAUCCUGAAAGCCCAAAUCCCCAAGUUGCGAUUCCCAUGGAACAAAAGGCCGAACUUGGGUUUGUCUUUCAGGAUCGUGGCUCAAACCCCGCAGCUGGAUCCAGCCAGGAAUGAAGGCCGCUUCCCUCAAGCAUGAGCUUUGUUGUAGAGCGGGCCUGGCAGGGCUGCCUGGUAGGGCCCGGAGCAGAGAGACAAGCAGGCCUGUCCCUUGUUGCACUUUCAAGUGACUUGUGACCUCCAGGGCAGCCUGUUUAGCUCCUGUACUGCAGCAGACCUAGACCCGCCCAAGCAGGCCUGCGGAAGACGAGUUAUUUAAUUGACAAAAUGUUUGUUUUUAUCCAGUAGAAAUGUCCUUGGGUCCCUUUUGAGACCAUUCCGUAAGCAUUCAGACCAUCCCGACUAAUCGUCAGGAAAGAGUGCCCCGCGGGGGUAUCAGAAAGAGAGUUAUCAGGAAAAAUUAAACAGUGACAGAGCAUUAGUAUCUGGAAGGAAGAGAGUCUUGUCACAUCAAGAGGCGGGCUCCCCAGGAUGAACCCAAACUAUGUAAAAUUUUAGAUGUCAUUAACAAAAACAGGGGGGCUGCCAAGCUGGGUGGUCAUGGUGGGCUCCUGAGGAUGGAUUCCCACCGCCCCUGCCUGUCCAGGAACCGUCUGAUGGCGACAUCACGCAGGUCUCCGGUUGGUUUAAAACAUCCCUUGUCAACAGUAUUGCAACUUAAAACCCUCUCCCCGCUCCCCACCAAUCAGAGAUGUUAAAUCGGGCAAGAGAUGUGCAUUCUGGAAUUACCUUCUGCCGGAUCUCCAAACCAUUUCAGGACGUCCUAAAGUCACGUCCCUCACCAGGCUUCCUGAGACCCGGAGCCAGUAGCGUCCACACUGCUGGGUUUCACAAACACUCCUCUCUUCCUUAGCAACCUCAAGAGCAAGAUGUCCUGUUACUAGUGCAAACCACUUUUUAUUUAUUCCAGUAUGGUGUUGAAUUAAUAAACU